rnacentral:rRNA from 1 species
AAGACCUUGCGCUUUUGGAGCGGCCGAUGCCUGAUUAGCUUGUUGGUAAGGUAAAAGCUUACCAAGGCUUCGAUCAGUAGCUGGUCUGAGAGGACGGCCAGCCACACUGGGACUGAGACACGGCCCAGACUCCUACGGGAGGCAGCAGUGGGGAAUUUUGGACAAUGGGGGCAACCCUGAUCCAGCCAUGCCGCGUGAGUGAAGAAGGCCUUCGGGUUGUAAAGCUCUUUCAGCCGGAACGAAACGGUUACGGUUAAUACCCGUGAUUACUGACGGUACCGGAAGAAGAAGCACCGGCUAACUACGUGCCAGCAGCCGCGGUAAUACGUAGGGUGCAAGCGUUAAUCGGAAUUACUGGGCGUAAAGCGUGCGCAGGUGGUUUUGUAAGUCAGAUGUGAAAUCCCCGGGCUUAACCUGGGAACU